AACGAACGCUGGCGGCAGGCUUAACACAUGCAAGUCGAGCGCCCCGCAAGGGGAGCGGCAGACGGGUGAGUAACGCGUGGGAAUCUACCCAUCACUACGGAACAACUCCGGGAAACUGGAGCUAAUACCGUAUACGUCCUUCGGGAGAAAGAUUUAUCGGUGAUGGAUGAGCCCGCGUUGGAUUAGCUAGUUGGUGGGGUAAUGGCCUACCAAGGCGACGAUCCAUAGCUGGUCUGAGAGGAUGAUCAGCCACACUGGGACUGAGACACGGCCCAGACUCCUACGGGAGGCAGCAGUGGGGAAUAUUGGACAAUGGGCGAAAGCCUGAUCCAGCCAUGCCGCGUGAGUGAUGAAGGCCCUAGGGUUGUAAAGCUCUUUCGCAGGUGAAGAUAAUGACGGUAACCUGAGAAGAAGCCCCGGCUAACUUCGUGCCAGCCGCCGCCGUAACAC
rnacentral:rRNA from 1 species